rnacentral:rRNA from 1 species
UACGUAGGGAGCAAGCGUUGUCCGGAAUCAUUGGGCGUAAAGCGCGCGUAGGCGGCCCUGUAAGUCCGUUGUGAAAGUCAAAGGCUCAACCUUUGAAAGCCGAUGGAUACUGCAGGGCUAGAGUCCGGAAGAGGCGAGUGGAAUUCCUGGUGUAGCGGUGAAAUGCGCAGAUAUCAGGAAGAACACCCGUGGCGAAGGCGGCUCUCUGGGACGGUACUGACGCUGAGACGCGAAAGCGUGGGGAGCGAACAGG